GUCCCUGUAGUUCAACGGAUAGAAUAGCUCCCUCCUAAGGAGUAGAUAUAGGUUCGAUUCCUGUCGGGGAUACCA
rnacentral:tRNA from 1 species